rnacentral:rRNA from 1 species
CCUACGGGAGGCAGCAGUGGGGAAUAUUGCACAAUGGGGGAAACUCUGAUGCAGCGACGUCGCGUGAGUGAAGAAGUAUUUCGGUACGUAAAGCUCUAUCAGCAGGGAAGAAAAUGACGGUACCUGACUAAGAAGCCCCGUCUAACUACGUGCCAGCAGCCGUGGUAAUACGUAGGGGGCAAGCGUUAUCCGGAUUUACUGGGUGUAAAGGGAGCGUAGACGGCAGCGCAAGUCAGGAGUGAAAUCCCAUGGCUUAACCAUGGAACUGCUUUGGAAACUGUGCAGCUAGAGUGCAGGAGAGGUAAGCGGAAUUCCUAGUGUAGCGGUGAAAUGCGUAGAUAUUAGGAGGAACACCAGUGGCGAAGGCGGCUUACUGGACUGUAACUGACGUUGAGGCUCGAAAGCGUGGGGAGCAAACAGGAUUAGAUACCCUAGUAGUC